UCAGGUAAUCUGUUGGUCUUGUUCCGAUUUGGGUCUAACUGCUGUUGGAUAGCAUAUUCAAAUUUAGUUGAGUAAGAAUGGACAGUGGGUUGUGUAAAAGCUGCUAAUGUUAAUUAGAUAAAACGGAAACUUUCUUUCUCGUGGUAUACACGCGUCGUAUGCGCAAACUGUUAUAAUUAGAUUGCAAACGUCACGAAAUGUUGUUGUAUAACAAUACC